rnacentral:rRNA from 1 species
GAUGAACGCUGGCGGCGUGCAUAACACAUUCAAGUCGAACGGAGUUGUUUUGAUUAAUCCUUCGGGAAGCGUCAAGACAACUUAGUGGCGGACGGGUGAGUAACGCGUGAGCAACCUGCCCUUGCGUGGGGGAUAACGUUUGGAAACGAACGCUAAUACCGCAUAACGUACCGAGAUUGCAUGGUUUUGGUACCAAAGAUUUAUUGCGCAAGGAUGGGCUCGCGUCUGAUUAGGUAGUUGGUGAGGUAACGGCUCACCAAGCCGACGAUCUUUAGCUGGUCUGAGAGGAUGAUCAGCCACACUGGGACUGAGACACGGCCCAG